AUCGCUUCUUGGCCUUUUGGCUAAGAUCAAGUGUAGUAUCUGCUUUUAUCAAUUUAGUAUCUGAUAUGUCCUCUAUCCAAGGACAACAUUGUGUGGAUUUUUGCAACAGGAAGAUAGAAUAGGAGCUUGCUCCAUCCAAUCGAGCAUUAAUCUGGUAUUGUGGUGCCACUGGGAAUGGUGCAACCCCU
rnacentral:snRNA from 1 species